rnacentral:rRNA from 1 species
GACGAACGCUGGCGGCGUGCUUAACACAUGCAAGUCGAACGGAAAGGCCCUGCUUUUGUGGGGUGCUCGAGUGGCGAACGGGUGAGUAACACGUGAGUAACCUGCCCUUGACUUUGGGAUAACUUCAGGAAACUGGGGCUAAUACCGGAUAGGAGCUCCUGCUGCAUGGUGGGGGUUGGAAAGUUUCGGCGGUUGGGGAUGGACUCGCGGCUUAUCAGCUUGUUGGUGGGGUAGUGGCUUACCAAGGCUUUGACGGGUAGCCGGCCUGAGAGGGUGACCGGCGAGAUGGCAACUAUAAUACGACCCAGACUAGUACGUGAAGCAGCAAUGGACAAUAUUGCACAAUGCGCGGAAGCCUGAAGCAGCAACGCCGCGAGCGUAAUGACGGCCUUCUGGUUAUGAACAGAUUUCGCCUGUAACGAAGCGUGAGUGGCGGUUAUAGGUAAAGAAGCACCGGCUAACUACGUG